GAUUAUAAUUUGUUUACCAAAUUAAUUGAUACUGAAAUUCAAGAUGAAAGCUGUUUUUCAAAUCGUGGCUGUGUGCCUAUUUAUCCAACUGGUCUUAGCUACGAAACAGGAACCUGUUUGCGACGUAGUGUGCCCUAAAAAUCCCAUGUAUACCGUGCAAGUACCAUACACUGGCGAUUGUACUAGAUAUUGUCUUUGCACAAUUAAUGGCAACUAUAAGAAGGAUUGUCCUGAAGGUCUACACUUUAAUCCUGUGUUAGAAGUUUGUGAUUGGCCAUUAAGUGCAGGUUGCAUUGACAGUCUUUAUUAAAUUUGUGUUUAUUGUAUAUGAGUGCAUAAAAUAAAUACUUAAAACCACA